GACGAACGCUGGCGGCGUGCUUAACACAUGCAAGUCGAACGCUGAAGCUCAGCUUUUGUUGGGUGGAUGAGUGGCGAACGGGUGAGUAACACGUGAGUAACCUGCCUCCUUCUUUGGGAUAACGCCCGGAAACGGGUGCUAAUACUGGAUAUUCACUGGUCUUCGCAUGGGGGUUGGUGGAAAGGGUUUUUUUGGUGGGGGAUGGGCUCGCGGCCUAUCAGCUUGUUGGUGGGGUGAUGGCCUACCAAGGCUUUGACGGGUAGCCGGCCUGAGAGGGUGACCGGUCACAGUGGGACUGGGAUACGGCCCAGACGCGUACGGGAGGCAGCAGUGGGGAAUAUUGCACAGUGGGCGCAAGGCUGAUGCAGCGACGCCGCGUGAGGGAUGGAGGCCUUCGGGUUGUGAACCUCUUUCGCUCAUGGUCAAGCCGCAACAAUGGUUGUGGUGAGGGUAGUGGGUAAAGAAGCGCCGGCUAACUACGUG
rnacentral:rRNA from 1 species